rnacentral:rRNA from 1 species
UACAGAGGUCUCAAGCGUUGUUCGGAUUUACUGGGCGUAAAGCGCACGUAGGCGGAUCUUUAAGUCAGGGGUGAAAUCCCGAGGCUCAACCUCGGAACUGCCUUUGAUACUGGGGAUCUUGAGUCCGGGAGAGGUGAGUGGAACUGCGAGUGUAGAGGUGAAAUUCGUAGAUAUUCGCAAGAACACCAGUGGCGAAGGCGGCUCACUGGCCCGGUACUGACGCUGAGGUGCGAAAGCGUGGGGAGCAAACAGG